UGACAGUGCAUGGUUGUCCGUCAGCUCAGUCGUCGUGAUGUGUAAGUCCCGCACGAGCGCAACCCUUGAUCUUAGUUGCCAGCAUUCAGUUGGGCACUCUAAGGUGACUGCCGGUGACACCGGAGGAAGGUGGGGAUGACGUCAAAUCAUCAUGCCCCUUAUGACCUGGGCUACACACGUGCUACAAUGGAUGGUACAAAGGGCUGCAAACCCGCGAGGGNAAGCGAAUCCCAUAGCCAUUCUCAGUUCGGAUUGCAGGCUGAACUCGCCUGCAUGAAGCCGGAAUCGCUAGUAUCGCGUCAGCAUGCCGGGGUGAAUACGUUCCCGGG
rnacentral:rRNA from 1 species